UUGGAAGCGAUGAUUAAAGGCCCAUUUGAUCAAGUGGAUUGUAAUGAGCUCAGAUAUUAAAGUUCUCUUUACAAGAGAGAAUAAAAGCCAUAAAUAUGAUCCAU